UACAGAGGGUGCAAGCGUUGUUCGGAAUUAUUGGGCGUAAAGGGCGCGUAGGCGGUGCGGUAAGUCUGUAGUGAAAUCUCUGGGCUCAACUCAGAGUCUGCUGCAGAAACUGCCGUGCUUGAGUGUGGGAGAGGUGAGUGGAAUUCCCGGUGUAGCGGUGAAAUUCGUAGAUAUCGGGAGGAACACCAGUGGCGAAGGCGGCUCUCUGGGCAGAUACUGACGCUGAGACGCGAAAGCAUGGGGAGCAAACAGG
rnacentral:rRNA from 1 species